rnacentral:rRNA from 1 species
AUACGGAGGAUCCAAGCGUUAUCCGGAUUUAUUGGGUUUAAAGGGUGCGUAGGCGGGGCAAUAAGUCAGUGGUUAAAUAUUUGAGCUAAACUCAAUUGUGCCAUUAAUACUGGUAAACUGGAGUACAGACGAGGUAGGCGGAAUAAGUUAAGUAGCGGUGAAAUGCAUAGAUAUGCCUUAGAACUCCGAUAGCGAAGGCAGCUUACCAGACUGUAACUGACGCUGAUGCACGAAAGCGUGGGUAGCGAACAGGAUUAGAUACCCUGGUAGUCCACGCCGUAAACGAUGCUACACUGGUUCUGUGCGAUAUAUUGUACGGGAUUAAGCGAAAGUAUUAAGUGAGCCACCUGGGGA